CCUACGGGAGGCAGCAGUGAGGAAUAUUGGUCAAUGGGCGAGAGCCUGAACCAGCCAAGUCGCGUGAGGGAGUACUGCCCUAUGGGUUGUAAACCUCUUUUGUCGGGGAGCAAAAGCCGGACGUGUCCGGCUGUGAGAGUACCCGAAGAAAAAGCCUCGUCUAACUCCGUGCCAGCAGCCGCGGUAAUACGGAGGAUGCGAGCGUUAUCCGGAUUUACGGGGGGUAAAGGGGGCGCAGACGGGGAUGCAAGCCAGGAGUGAAAGCCCGGGGCCCAACCCCGGGACUGCGCUUGGAACUGCGUGGCUGGAGUGCAGGAGGGGCAGGCGGAAUUCCUGGUGUAGCGGUGAAAUGCGUAGAUAUCAGGAGGAACACCGGUGGCGAAGGCGGCCUGCUGGACUGCAACUGACGUUGAGGCCCGAAAGCGUGGGGAGCAAACAGGAUUAGAUACCCUUGUAGUC
rnacentral:rRNA from 1 species